GUGGUGUCAGGUGUGCACAUGGCUCGAGAAAGAGAAACAUCAGAGCUCAGACCAACGCCUUUUCUUCUCCUUUCUUUCGAUGUCUGUCUCUUUCCCCCAAAAAGCUCUUCUUCCUCUCUUCUUGUUCCUGUUCGUCAUCACCAACGGUGCCAUUUUCCCUCUUUUAUCCUUCAUUUUUCCGAUCGACAACAACGAAACCAAGAUAUGGUACGAAAUUUGGAGAUUUUCUCUAUCGUUCUCAUGCUACUUUAUGUUGCAGUUACGAAAUUUGCAGAUUACCUCCAUCAUUCUCAUGCUAUUUUCUGAGCUUUCCCCCCCUUUUUUGAAGGUCCAAAAAUUGGAAUUUUCUUUGAUUCUCUCAAAAACUACUAAUAAGGUGGUAUGGAUCAACAUAUUCCCAACCUAUUUUGCAUAAUAUUGGUGAAUGUUUUGAGCGAGCCUUCUUCUAUUUGCGUAUAUGUGAUUACAGUUUAUACUCUGCUUUUCUUUAUUUUUUUCUCUGCAAAAGAGAUUGCUUUGGAUUUUUUUGUUAUUUAUUUCUUGUUAUGACAUAUUAGAUGUAAGUUUCAAUUUUGGUUAUCAUGAAGUGUUUAUCCUCUUAGUUGUGUCUUGGAAAGUUUAAAUUUAUCAUGUUUCCUUGAGCCUUUUAAACUUAAAAUUGAUCAAUCCUCACUAGACGUUGGAUUCAUUUGUGCAUUUCAUAGGUCUCCACUUUUUGGGUCUUUUUGUACGUGGGGUUACUUCUUUCCCUUUUCCCCUUUUCUGUUUUAAAGUAAUGUAAUGAUAUAAUCAUGUUUAAUUUAUCAAAUGUUUGACAAAAUGUUAAAACUGUUAAUUUGUUAAAUAGCAACUAAAAUUGGAAAAAAGUUGUCCCCUAUAACCUAUUUUCUUGAUUUUCAACCGAAAGACUUUGUUCCUCUAUCCAUGAAUUUCCUCUCUCUUCUCAUGGUCUUCACUUACUGAUAAAAAGGAGAAGCUUUAUGUGCUUAUAUAAUCUCUUCUUCUAUUGUAGUUUUACAAAAGGAAAAAUAUCUGUUUUUAAAUGCUAAUCUCUUAGAGAGGUCUUCUAUUUAAGAUUUUUCCCCAUGAGUACGAAUGUGUAAUCUUUGUCAUGGUGCAGGUUUUUUACCCAUAAUAUUUUGGUUGGUCUAUUUAUUUAGACAAAAGAAAAAGUGUGAGGUUGGAUAUUAUAUAGGUGCAAUCUUCUGAUGAUUUUUUCCCUUCAGCCUUCUGUUUUAUUAAAAUACCAGAUUUUGAACAAAUAUCAUGAAUCAGAAAUGUCUAUGCUCAAUUAUAGAUGGUAGAAACUGAUAUGUGAAAAUCGGCUCUAAUAAUUUGAAAUUCACUCCUUUAAUUCAUUAGUGAACAGUUUGUUAAUAGUAGCCUUCCUACCUUUUUUCAUGCAACUUAUUUUAGACGGGUUUUCCUUCUGGGUUUAUAUUGUGUAUGACAUGUGUUUUUAGCAAUUAGAGGAUUAUUAUUUGACUAAUUAAUAUGUUAACAGGUUACAAAAAAUAAGUUAGAGUGGGACUAAUUGGCAGUGGAGUGAGAGAAGUCUUAACAUGGGAAAGAACAAGCAUAAAAGGCAUGUUAAAGAUUUGUCAAUUGACAGAGCAACUCUGUAUGAACAUUAACUAGAUGCUGCCUAAGGUAUAUGUAAUUUGGUGAUAAAACACUACAUUCUGCUGAUUUAUUUUGGUGGUUCUUGAUUCUCAUUUUGCAGAAUUUAAGUAGUGAACUCUACCACAAAUCCUUGAAAGAUGCUGCUAAGGUGUGCACAUGGCUCGAGAAAGAGAAACAUCAGAGCUCAGACCAACGCCUUUUCUUCUCCUUUCUUUCGAUGUCUGUCUCUUUCCCCCAAAAAGCUCUUCUUCCUCUCUUCUUGUUCCUGUUCGUCAUCACCAACGGUGCCAUUUUCCCUCUUUUAUCCUUCAUUUUUCCGAUCGACAACAACGAAACCAAGAUAUGGUACGAAAUUUGGAGAUUUUCUCUAUCGUUCUCAUGCUACUUUAUGUUGCAGUUACGAAAUUUGCAGAUUACCUCCAUCAUUCUCAUGCUAUUUUCUGAGCUUUCCCCCCCUUUUUUGAAGGUCCAAAAAUUGGAAUUUUCUUUGAUUCUCUCAAAAACUACUAAUAAGGUGGUAUGGAUCAACAUAUUCCCAACCUAUUUUGCAUAAUAUUGGUGAAUGUUUUGAGCGAGCCUUCUUCUAUUUGCGUAUAUGUGAUUACAGUUUAUACUCUGCUUUUCUUUAUUUUUUUCUCUGCAAAAGAGAUUGCUUUGGAUUUUUUUGUUAUUUAUUUCUUGUUAUGACAUAUUAGAUGUAAGUUUCAAUUUUGGUUAUCAUGAAGUGUUUAUCCUCUUAGUUGUGUCUUGGAAAGUUUAAAUUUAUCAUGUUUCCUUGAGCCUUUUAAACUUAAAAUUGAUCAAUCCUCACUAGACGUUGGAUUCAUUUGUGCAUUUCAUAGGUCUCCACUUUUUGGGUCUUUUUGUACGUGGGGUUACUUCUUUCCCUUUUCCCCUUUUCUGUUUUAAAGUAAUGUAAUGAUAUAAUCAUGUUUAAUUUAUCAAAUGUUUGACAAAAUGUUAAAACUGUUAAUUUGUUAAAUAGCAACUAAAAUUGGAAAAAAGUUGUCCCCUAUAAUCUAUUUUCUUGAUUUUCAACCGAAAGACUUUGUUCCUCUAUCCAUGAAUUUCCUCUCUCUUCUCAUGGUCUUCACUUACUGAUAAAAAGGAGAAGCUUUAUGUGCUUAUAUAAUCUCUUCUUCUAUUGUAGUUUUACAAAAGGAAAAAUAUCUGUUUUUAAAUGCUAAUCUCUUAGAGAGGUCUUCUAUUUAAGAUUUUUCCCCAUGAGUACGAAUGUGUAAUCUUUGUCAUGGUGCAGGUUUUUUACCCAUAAUAUUUUGGUUGGUCUAUUUAUUUAGACAAAAGAAAAAGUGUGAGGUUGGAUAUUAUAUAGGUGCAAUCUUCUGAUGAUUUUUUCCCUUCAGCCUUCUGUUUUAUUAAAAUACCAGAUUUUGAACAAAUAUCAUGAAUCAGAAAUGUCUAUGCUCAAUUAUAGAUGGUAGAAACUGAUAUGUGAAAAUCGGCUCUAAUAAUUUGAAAUUCACUCCUUUAAUUCAUUAGUGAACAGUUUGUUAAUAGUAGCCUUCCUACCUUUUUUCAUGCAACUUAUUUUAGACGGGUUUUCCUUCUGGGUUUAUAUUGUGUAUGACAUGUGUUUUUAGCAAUUAGAGGAUUAUUAUUUGACUAAUUAAUAUGUUAACAGGUUACAAAAAAUAAGUUAGAGUGGGACUAAUUGGCAGUGGAGUGAGAGAAGUCUUAACAUGGGAAAGAACAAGCAUAAAAGGCAUGUUAAAGAUUUGUCAAUUGACAGAGCAACUCUGUAUGAACAUUAACUAGAUGCUGCCUAAGGUAUAUGUAAUUUGGUGAUAAAACACUACAUUCUGCUGAUUUAUUUUGGUGGUUCUUGAUUCUCAUUUUGCAGAAUUUAAGUAGUGAACUCUACCACAAAUCCUUGAAAGAUGCUGCUAAGGUGUGCACAUGGCUCGAGAAAGAGAAACAUCAGAGCUCAGACCAACGCCUUUUCUUCUCCUUUCUUUCGAUGUCUGUCUCUUUCCCCCAAAAAGCUCUUCUUCCUCUCUUCUUGUUCCUGUUCGUCAUCACCAACGGUGCCAUUUUCCCUCUUUUAUCCUUCAUUUUUCCGAUCGACAACAACGAAACCAAGAUAUGGUACGAAAUUUGGAGAUUUUCUCUAUCGUUCUCAUGCUACUUUAUGUUGCAGUUACGAAAUUUGCAGAUUACCUCCAUCAUUCUCAUGCUAUUUUCUGAGCUUUCCCCCCCUUUUUUGAAGGUCCAAAAAUUGGAAUUUUCUUUGAUUCUCUCAAAAACUACUAAUAAGGUGGUAUGGAUCAACAUAUUCCCAACCUAUUUUGCAUAAUAUUGGUGAAUGUUUUGAGCGAGCCUUCUUCUAUUUGCGUAUAUGUGAUUACAGUUUAUACUCUGCUUUUCUUUAUUUUUUUCUCUGCAAAAGAGAUUGCUUUGGAUUUUUUUGUUAUUUAUUUCUUGUUAUGACAUAUUAGAUGUAAGUUUCAAUUUUGGUUAUCAUGAAGUGUUUAUCCUCUUAGUUGUGUCUUGGAAAGUUUAAAUUUAUCAUGUUUCCUUGAGCCUUUUAAACUUAAAAUUGAUCAAUCCUCACUAGACGUUGGAUUCAUUUGUGCAUUUCAUAGGUCUCCACUUUUUGGGUCUUUUUGUACGUGGGGUUACUUCUUUCCCUUUUCCCCUUUUCUGUUUUAAAGUAAUGUAAUGAUAUAAUCAUGUUUAAUUUAUCAAAUGUUUGACAAAAUGUUAAAACUGUUAAUUUGUUAAAUAGCAACUAAAAUUGGAAAAAAGUUGUCCCCUAUAAUCUAUUUUCUUGAUUUUCAACCGAAAGACUUUGUUCCUCUAUCCAUGAAUUUCCUCUCUCUUCUCAUGGUCUUCACUUACUGAUAAAAAGGAGAAGCUUUAUGUGCUUAUAUAAUCUCUUCUUCUAUUGUAGUUUUACAAAAGGAAAAAUAUCUGUUUUUAAAUGCUAAUCUCUUAGAGAGGUCUUCUAUUUAAGAUUUUUCCCCAUGAGUACGAAUGUGUAAUCUUUGUCAUGGUGCAGGUUUUUUACCCAUAAUAUUUUGGUUGGUCUAUUUAUUUAGACAAAAGAAAAAGUGUGAGGUUGGAUAUUAUAUAGGUGCAAUCUUCUGAUGAUUUUUUCCCUUCAGCCUUCUGUUUUAUUAAAAUACCAGAUUUUGAACAAAUAUCAUGAAUCAGAAAUGUCUAUGCUCAAUUAUAGAUGGUAGAAACUGAUAUGUGAAAAUCGGCUCUAAUAAUUUGAAAUUCACUCCUUUAAUUCAUUAGUGAACAGUUUGUUAAUAGUAGCCUUCCUACCUUUUUUCAUGCAACUUAUUUUAGACGGGUUUUCCUUCUGGGUUUAUAUUGUGUAUGACAUGUGUUUUUAGCAAUUAGAGGAUUAUUAUUUGACUAAUUAAUAUGUUAACAGGUUACAAAAAAUAAGUUAGAGUGGGACUAAUUGGCAGUGGAGUGAGAGAAGUCUUAACAUGGGAAAGAACAAGCAUAAAAGGCAUGUUAAAGAUUUGUCAAUUGACAGAGCAACUCUGUAUGAACAUUAACUAGAUGCUGCCUAAGGUAUAUGUAAUUUGGUGAUAAAACACUACAUUCUGCUGAUUUAUUUUGGUGGUUCUUGAUUCUCAUUUUGCAGAAUUUAAGUAGUGAACUCUACCACAAAUCCUUGAAAGAUGCUGCUAAGGUGUGCACAUGGCUCGAGAAAGAGAAACAUCAGAGCUCAGACCAACGCCUUUUCUUCUCCUUUCUUUCGAUGUCUGUCUCUUUCCCCCAAAAAGCUCUUCUUCCUCUCUUCUUGUUCCUGUUCGUCAUCACCAACGGUGCCAUUUUCCCUCUUUUAUCCUUCAUUUUUCCGAUCGACAACAACGAAACCAAGAUAUGGUACGAAAUUUGGAGAUUUUCUCUAUCGUUCUCAUGCUACUUUAUGUUGCAGUUACGAAAUUUGCAGAUUACCUCCAUCAUUCUCAUGCUAUUUUCUGAGCUUUCCCCCCCUUUUUUGAAGGUCCAAAAAUUGGAAUUUUCUUUGAUUCUCUCAAAAACUACUAAUAAGGUGGUAUGGAUCAACAUAUUCCCAACCUAUUUUGCAUAAUAUUGGUGAAUGUUUUGAGCGAGCCUUCUUCUAUUUGCGUAUAUGUGAUUACAGUUUAUACUCUGCUUUUCUUUAUUUUUUUCUCUGCAAAAGAGAUUGCUUUGGAUUUUUUUGUUAUUUAUUUCUUGUUAUGACAUAUUAGAUGUAAGUUUCAAUUUUGGUUAUCAUGAAGUGUUUAUCCUCUUAGUUGUGUCUUGGAAAGUUUAAAUUUAUCAUGUUUCCUUGAGCCUUUUAAACUUAAAAUUGAUCAAUCCUCACUAGACGUUGGAUUCAUUUGUGCAUUUCAUAGGUCUCCACUUUUUGGGUCUUUUUGUACGUGGGGUUACUUCUUUCCCUUUUCCCCUUUUCUGUUUUAAAGUAAUGUAAUGAUAUAAUCAUGUUUAAUUUAUCAAAUGUUUGACAAAAUGUUAAAACUGUUAAUUUGUUAAAUAGCAACUAAAAUUGGAAAAAAGUUGUCCCCUAUAACCUAUUUUCUUGAUUUUCAACCGAAAGACUUUGUUCCUCUAUCCAUGAAUUUCCUCUCUCUUCUCAUGGUCUUCACUUACUGAUAAAAAGGAGAAGCUUUAUGUGCUUAUAUAAUCUCUUCUUCUAUUGUAGUUUUACAAAAGGAAAAAUAUCUGUUUUUAAAUGCUAAUCUCUUAGAGAGGUCUUCUAUUUAAGAUUUUUCCCCAUGAGUACGAAUGUGUAAUCUUUGUCAUGGUGCAGGUUUUUUACCCAUAAUAUUUUGGUUGGUCUAUUUAUUUAGACAAAAGAAAAAGUGUGAGGUUGGAUAUUAUAUAGGUGCAAUCUUCUGAUGAUUUUUUCCCUUCAGCCUUCUGUUUUAUUAAAAUACCAGAUUUUGAACAAAUAUCAUGAAUCAGAAAUGUCUAUGCUCAAUUAUAUAUGGUAGAAACUGAUAUGUGAAAAUCGGCUCUAAUAAUUUGAAAUUCACUCCUUUAAUUCAUUAGUGAACAGUUUGUUAAUAGUAGCCUUCCUACCUUUUUUCAUGCAACUUAUUUUAGACGGGUUUUCCUUCUGGGUUUAUAUUGUGUAUGACAUGUGUUUUUAGCAAUUAGAGGAUUAUUAUUUGACUAAUUAAUAUGUUAACAGGUUACAAAAAAUAAGUUAGAGUGGGACUAAUUGGCAGUGGAGUGAGAGAAGUCUUAACAUGGGAAAGAACAAGCAUAAAAGGCAUGUUAAAGAUUUGUCAAUUGACAGAGCAACUCUGUAUGAACAUUAACUAGAUGCUGCCUAAGGUAUAUGUAAUUUGGUGAUAAAACACUACAUUCUGCUGAUUUAUUUUGGUGGUUCUUGAUUCUCAUUUUGCAGAAUUUAAGUAGUGAACUCUACCACAAAUCCUUGAAAGAUGCUGCUAAGGUGUGCACAUGGCUCGAGAAAGAGAAACAUCAGAGCUCAGACCAACGCCUUUUCUUCUCCUUUCUUUCGAUGUCUGUCUCUUUCCCCCAAAAAGCUCUUCUUCCUCUCUUCUUGUUCCUGUUCGUCAUCACCAACGGUGCCAUUUUCCCUCUUUUAUCCUUCAUUUUUCCGAUCGACAACAACGAAACCAAGAUAUGGUACGAAAUUUGGAGAUUUUCUCUAUCGUUCUCAUGCUACUUUAUGUUGCAGUUACGAAAUUUGCAGAUUACCUCCAUCAUUCUCAUGCUAUUUUCUGAGCUUUCCCCCCCUUUUUUGAAGGUCCAAAAAUUGGAAUUUUCUUUGAUUCUCUCAAAAACUACUAAUAAGGUGGUAUGGAUCAACAUAUUCCCAACCUAUUUUGCAUAAUAUUGGUGAAUGUUUUGAGCGAGCCUUCUUCUAUUUGCGUAUAUGUGAUUACAGUUUAUACUCUGCUUUUCUUUAUUUUUUUCUCUGCAAAAGAGAUUGCUUUGGAUUUUUUUGUUAUUUAUUUCUUGUUAUGACAUAUUAGAUGUAAGUUUCAAUUUUGGUUAUCAUGAAGUGUUUAUCCUCUUAGUUGUGUCUUGGAAAGUUUAAAUUUAUCAUGUUUCCUUGAGCCUUUUAAACUUAAAAUUGAUCAAUCCUCACUAGACGUUGGAUUCAUUUGUGCAUUUCAUAGGUCUCCACUUUUUGGGUCUUUUUGUACGUGGGGUUACUUCUUUCCCUUUUCCCCUUUUCUGUUUUAAAGUAAUGUAAUGAUAUAAUCAUGUUUAAUUUAUCAAAUGUUUGACAAAAUGUUAAAACUGUUAAUUUGUUAAAUAGCAACUAAAAUUGGAAAAAAGUUGUCCCCUAUAAUCUAUUUUCUUGAUUUUCAACCGAAAGACUUUGUUCCUCUAUCCAUGAAUUUCCUCUCUCUUCUCAUGGUCUUCACUUACUGAUAAAAAGGAGAAGCUUUAUGUGCUUAUAUAAUCUCUUCUUCUAUUGUAGUUUUACAAAAGGAAAAAUAUCUGUUUUUAAAUGCUAAUCUCUUAGAGAGGUCUUCUAUUUAAGAUUUUUCCCCAUGAGUACGAAUGUGUAAUCUUUGUCAUGGUGCAGGUUUUUUACCCAUAAUAUUUUGGUUGGUCUAUUUAUUUAGACAAAAGAAAAAGUGUGAGGUUGGAUAUUAUAUAGGUGCAAUCUUCUGAUGAUUUUUUCCCUUCAGCCUUCUGUUUUAUUAAAAUACCAGAUUUUGAACAAAUAUCAUGAAUCAGAAAUGUCUAUGCUCAAUUAUAGAUGGUAGAAACUGAUAUGUGAAAAUCGGCUCUAAUAAUUUGAAAUUCACUCCUUUAAUUCAUUAGUGAACAGUUUGUUAAUAGUAGCCUUCCUACCUUUUUUCAUGCAACUUAUUUUAGACGGGUUUUCCUUCUGGGUUUAUAUUGUGUAUGACAUGUGUUUUUAGCAAUUAGAGGAUUAUUAUUUGACUAAUUAAUAUGUUAACAGGUUACAAAAAAUAAGUUAGAGUGGGACUAAUUGGCAGUGGAGUGAGAGAAGUCUUAACAUGGGAAAGAACAAGCAUAAAAGGCAUGUUAAAGAUUUGUCAAUUGACAGAGCAACUCUGUAUGAACAUUAACUAGAUGCUGCCUAAGGUAUAUGUAAUUUGGUGAUAAAACACUACAUUCUGCUGAUUUAUUUUGGUGGUUCUUGAUUCUCAUUUUGCAGAAUUUAAGUAGUGAACUCUACCACAAAUCCUUGAAAGAUGCUGCUAAGGUGUGCACAUGGCUCGAGAAAGAGAAACAUCAGAGCUCAGACCAACGCCUUUUCUUCUCCUUUCUUUCGAUGUCUGUCUCUUUCCCCCAAAAAGCUCUUCUUCCUCUCUUCUUGUUCCUGUUCGUCAUCACCAACGGUGCCAUUUUCCCUCUUUUAUCCUUCAUUUUUCCGAUCGACAACAACGAAACCAAGAUAUGGUACGAAAUUUGGAGAUUUUCUCUAUCGUUCUCAUGCUACUUUAUGUUGCAGUUACGAAAUUUGCAGAUUACCUCCAUCAUUCUCAUGCUAUUUUCUGAGCUUUCCCCCCCUUUUUUGAAGGUCCAAAAAUUGGAAUUUUCUUUGAUUCUCUCAAAAACUACUAAUAAGGUGGUAUGGAUCAACAUAUUCCCAACCUAUUUUGCAUAAUAUUGGUGAAUGUUUUGAGCGAGCCUUCUUCUAUUUGCGUAUAUGUGAUUACAGUUUAUACUCUGCUUUUCUUUAUUUUUUUCUCUGCAAAAGAGAUUGCUUUGGAUUUUUUUGUUAUUUAUUUCUUGUUAUGACAUAUUAGAUGUAAGUUUCAAUUUUGGUUAUCAUGAAGUGUUUAUCCUCUUAGUUGUGUCUUGGAAAGUUUAAAUUUAUCAUGUUUCCUUGAGCCUUUUAAACUUAAAAUUGAUCAAUCCUCACUAGACGUUGGAUUCAUUUGUGCAUUUCAUAGGUCUCCACUUUUUGGGUCUUUUUGUACGUGGGGUUACUUCUUUCCCUUUUCCCCUUUUCUGUUUUAAAGUAAUGUAAUGAUAUAAUCAUGUUUAAUUUAUCAAAUGUUUGACAAAAUGUUAAAACUGUUAAUUUGUUAAAUAGCAACUAAAAUUGGAAAAAAGUUGUCCCCUAUAAUCUAUUUUCUUGAUUUUCAACCGAAAGACUUUGUUCCUCUAUCCAUGAAUUUCCUCUCUCUUCUCAUGGUCUUCACUUACUGAUAAAAAGGAGAAGCUUUAUGUGCUUAUAUAAUCUCUUCUUCUAUUGUAGUUUUACAAAAGGAAAAAUAUCUGUUUUUAAAUGCUAAUCUCUUAGAGAGGUCUUCUAUUUAAGAUUUUUCCCCAUGAGUACGAAUGUGUAAUCUUUGUCAUGGUGCAGGUUUUUUACCCAUAAUAUUUUGGUUGGUCUAUUUAUUUAGACAAAAGAAAAAGUGUGAGGUUGGAUAUUAUAUAGGUGCAAUCUUCUGAUGAUUUUUUCCCUUCAGCCUUCUGUUUUAUUAAAAUACCAGAUUUUGAACAAAUAUCAUGAAUCAGAAAUGUCUAUGCUCAAUUAUAGAUGGUAGAAACUGAUAUGUGAAAAUCGGCUCUAAUAAUUUGAAAUUCACUCCUUUAAUUCAUUAGUGAACAGUUUGUUAAUAGUAGCCUUCCUACCUUUUUUCAUGCAACUUAUUUUAGACGGGUUUUCCUUCUGGGUUUAUAUUGUGUAUGACAUGUGUUUUUAGCAAUUAGAGGAUUAUUAUUUGACUAAUUAAUAUGUUAACAGGUUACAAAAAAUAAGUUAGAGUGGGACUAAUUGGCAGUGGAGUGAGAGAAGUCUUAACAUGGGAAAGAACAAGCAUAAAAGGCAUGUUAAAGAUUUGUCAAUUGACAGAGCAACUCUGUAUGAACAUUAACUAGAUGCUGCCUAAGGUAUAUGUAAUUUGGUGAUAAAACACUACAUUCUGCUGAUUUAUUUUGGUGGUUCUUGAUUCUCAUUUUGCAGAAUUUAAGUAGUGAACUCUACCACAAAUCCUUGAAAGAUGCUGCUAAGAUAAAGGAACAAGGAAAAAGGAGGCUGCUUUUCUCCAUUCAACCAUGAAGAAGUAAGAAAAUUGUGCCCAAGAUAAAGGUGCAAAGGUGCAACUGUUUAUGCAUACGUAGUCUACUAUGAGAGAUAGGUAGCCAGCUAUUUCACACUUUUGGAUAGCAAUUUAUAACUCAAAUUGGAAGCAUAUGCAGCUCUCCACUCCCGAUUGUGUUUGAGUCUUGUAUCUCUUAGUAUUUACAUUAAAAAAGGGAGUCUUCAUGGGUGUUAGUAGUUGAGAGAAAAAGGGCAUUUCAUAGGCUUUUUGUAUUUUUAUAAUUUAUACCUUUUGGAACAUUAAGUAUAUUGUACUGAUACUGCUUUCUAAUGGUAAAAUCUGGUGGAGAAAGAAAUCCAGUAAGUCCGUAACUUACAAUUA